rfam:Brenneria sp. EniD312 chromosome, whole genome shotgun sequence.
CAACACCACGGAGAGCACGGCGAUCGGCCAGAUAAGGUAGCUAAGCCACUGCAGCCACGUCGGAAUGUGGUUCAUAAGCUGUGGUAUCCAAUCGCCGAGGCGGGUGAAGAGCCACCAGAAAGCUCCUCCCAUCAGUAAAAUAUUCACCAGCAGGGGCAGGAUGACAAAACGCCGGAUGCCUGGCAGUGAGAUCAGCCGCCAUCCCGCAAGAAAAUAGUGUAUGCCGCCGUGUGGUUUGGCAACCGGUUUGGAAUGAAGCAUGGGUAAUGUUCUCAGUCGUCUAUUAUUCGUGAUUGCAUCAUAUCGGGAUGAUUUUAGACUGACCAGUCUGCAUUUGGAUGAAAAAACAGCAAAAAAAUGCGUUGUAUCCAUCUUUCUUGUCAUAAUGUACCGUGCAGACUUGCACUUGUGUACGCAGGCAAAUAGAGU